UGCCUGAAAAUGGGAAUACAUCACACCUA
rnacentral:piRNA from 1 species